CGCUUAACACAUGCAAGUCGCACGAGAAAGUGGAGCAAUCCAUGAGUACAGUGGCGUACGGGUGAGUAACACGUGGAUCAUCUACCUCUUGGUGGGGAAUACCCCCGGGAAACUGGGGACAAUACCGCAUAAGCCUGCGAAGGGAAAGCAGCGAUGCGCCGAGAGAGGAGUCCGCGGUCGAUUAGCUAGUUGGUGAGGUAACGGCCCACCAAGGCGAAGAUCGAUAGCCGGCCUGAGAGGGCUCACGGCCACACUGGCACUGAAACACGGGCCAGACUCCUACGGGAGGCAGCAGUGGGGAAUCUUGCACAAUGGAGGAAACUCUGAUGCAGCGACGCCGCGUGAGCGUUAAGCCCCUCGGGGUGUAAAGCUC
rnacentral:rRNA from 1 species